AGCCUUUGUGUUGCCCGUUCACCCUUGUUCACUCGUGAAUGUGGUGUCAAAAAAGGCAUAAAGUAAUGCUUUUCAGCCCUCACUUACCCUGGAGUUUGGUUUCUUGGGUGUAAAGGCUGUGUAAAAAGUC